rnacentral:rRNA from 1 species
CGGUGUUUAACUGGCGUGAUGUGGGACGUCCUACCGGUGGGCUUAGCCUCGCGAGGGGCGGCCCAACUAAUAUCCCGUCGCGGUGCUCUUUACUGAGUGUCGAGUCGGGCCGGUACGUUUACUUUGAACAAAUUAGAGUGCUUAAAGCAGGCUAUCCUCGCCUGAAUACUGCGUGCAUGGAAUAAUGGAAUAGGACCUCGGUUCUAUUUUGUUGGUUUUCGGAACCCCGAGGUAAUGAUUAAUAGGGACAGAUGGGGGCAUUCGUAUUGCGACGUUAGAGGUGAAAUUCUUGGAUCGUCGCAAGACGGACAGAAGCGAAAGCAUUUGCCAAAAAUGUUUUCAUUAAUCAAGAACGAAAGUUAGAGGUUCGAAGGCGAUCAUAUACCGCCCUAGUUCUAACCAUAAACGAUGCCAGCUAGCGAUCCGCCGAAGUUCUUCUGAUGACUCGGCGGGCAGCUUCCGGGAAACCAAAGCUUUUGGGUUCCGGGGGAAGUAUGGUUGCAAAGCUGAAACUUAAAGGAAUUGAGGGAAGGGCACCACCAGGAGUGGAGCCUGCGGCUUAAUUUGACUCAACACGGGAAACCUCACCAGGCCCAGACACCGGAAGGAUUGACAGAUUGAUAGCUCUUUCUUGAUUCGGUGGGUGGUGGGGCAUGGCCGUUCUUAGUUGGUGGAGCGAUUUGUCUGGUUAAUUCCGAUAACGAACGAGACUCUAGCCUGCUAAAUAGGCGUACCUUAUGGUAUCGCGAAGGCCCCCGGCUUCGGCCGGUGGGUUUUUACUACCAACGUACAAACAAAUCUUCUUAGAGGGACAGGCGG